rnacentral:rRNA from 1 species
CGGGAAUUUUGGGCAAUGGGCGAAAGCCUGACCCAGCAACGCCGCGUGAGGGAUGAAGUAUUUCGGUAUGUAAACCUCGAAAGAAUGGGAAGAAUAAAUGACGGUACCAUUUAUAAGCUCCGGCUAACUACGUGCAAGCAGCCGCGGUAAUACGUAGGGAGCAAGCGUUGUUCGGAUUUACUGGGCGUAAAGGGCGCGUAGGCGGCGCGGUAAGUCACUUGUGAAAUCUCUGAGCUUAACUCAGAACGGCCAAGUGAUACUGCUGUGCUAGAGUGCGGAAGAGGCAACCGGAAUUCUUGGUGGAGCGGUGAGAUGCGUAGAUAUCAAGAGGAACACCUGAGGCGAAGGCGGGUUGCUGGGCCGACACUGACGCUGAUGCGCGAAAGCCAGGGG